GACGAACGCUGGCGGCGUGCUUAACACAUGCAAGUCGAACGGAAAGGCCCUGCUUUUGUGGGGUGCUCGAGUGGCGAAAGGGUGAGUAACCCGUGAGUAACCUGCCCUUGACUUUGGGAUAACUUCAGGAAACUGGGGCUAAUACCGGAUAGGAGCUCCUGCUGCAUGGUGGGGGUUGGAAAGUUUAGGCGGUUGGGGAUGGACUCGCGGCUUAUCAGCUUGUUGGUGGGGUAGUGGCUUACCAAGGCUUUGCUGGGUAGCAGGCCUGAAAGGGUGACCGGCGACAGUGGCACUGAGAUGCGGCCCAGACUGCAACGGGAGAAAACAGUGGGGAAUAGUGCACAAUAGGCGGAGGCCUGAUGCAGCAACCACGCAUGCUGAAUGACUGCCUUCGGGGUAGAAACCGCUUUCGCCUGUGACGAUGCUUAAAUGACGGUAAUGAGCAAAGAAGCACCGGCUAACUACGUG
rnacentral:rRNA from 1 species